ACAGGUGAGGGGAACCAGCAGUGACAGACACGCGCUUGAGACGGGAAUGGCUUCAGCCUCAUCCAUCGUUCACACUGGCUUGAUUUCUGGGCUUUGAGCAAAUUCCAGAAGGUGAGCCACAGGCAGCAGCCCACGCUUGCAGAGCUCUUUGCUCAUCACUUUGCACUUGAUGUGACUUCCGCCUCGACACCUGUAAGGACACCUUAGGGAAACUGACUGCCUUCCUGUUCUCAUCUCUUUGGUCCUGGAUCAUCAUCCCAGAGUAAGGAUAGCGCCUCCAGUGGAACUGAGUUAGGCUUUUGAGCAUGAACAGGAGGUCGAUAGCCAUUUGUCCCAGCCUGAAACAAAGAUCCACGAGCCGAGGGUCACAUGCCUAACCAGUGGAGAAAUGCACCUAACCAGUGGAGAAAUGCACCCAAGAACACCUUUCCUGGGUUGGUGAAGGAGCAGAUCUGAAUGUUGAAAGGAUGGACCCAGACUUUCAGAAGACCUGCCUCGAGUUUUGCCAGCUGGCUCAAAGUCAUUGUCUGCAGGGAGCAGGACCCUAAGAUCAUAGGUCUUCAGAUUAUGAGGAACUGUACUCAGGAGCUGUACUAUAGGACACCCAAGGCAUCUCCUCCACACUUGUACCUGAUUUAAUAACAAGAUACUGGACUUCAAGUUGAUGCUAUAAAAGAAUAAGACU